rnacentral:rRNA from 1 species
GAUGAACGCUGGCGGCGUGCCUAAUACAUGCAAGUCGAGCGAACGGACGAGAAGCUUGCUUCUCUGAUGUUAGCGGCGGACGGGUGAGUAACACGUGGAUAACCUACCUAUAAGACUGGGAUAACUUCGGGAAACCGGAGCUAAUACCGGAUAAUAUUAUGAACCGCAUGGUUCAAAAGUGAAAGACGGUCUUGCUGUCACUUAUAGAUGGAUCCGCGCUGCAUUAGCUAGUUGGUAAGGUAACGGCUUACCAAGGCAACGAUGCAUAGCCGACCUGAGAGGGUGAUCGGCCACACUGGAACUGAGACACGGUCCAGACUCCUACGGGAGGCAGCAGUAGGGAAUCUUCCGCAAUGGGCGAAAGCCUGACGGAGCAACGCCGCGUGAGUGAUGAAGGUCUUCGGAUCGUAAAACUCUGUUAUUAGGGAAGAACAUAUGUGUAAGUAACUGUGCACAUCUUGACGGUACCUAAUUAGAAAGCCACGGCUAACUACGUG